UCCGGUCAUAACAACUUUACAGAAUCGGUAGGAGGAGUUCGUUAGCCUUGUCUGGCUAGACCAUGGAGCCUAUCAUCUAUAACUCUAAAAAUUUGAUUGACCGAGCAUUGUCUGGGAGAGAUGCCAUUCUUGUGAAGUUCAACAAGUGUGCAGAGAAAGAUGGCCAGACUUAUUUGUCAGAAGCAAAGAAUGUGUUUGAGAAAAUGCAGAAUCCAAUGCUCCUAGAUCCUAAAGCAGAUCGGGAAGAAGUCCGGCAAUAUUUGAAUGACCUCUUAGAGCAAAUGGAAUCUGUGCAAC